CCUUGGCCUCCCAAAGUGCUGGGAUUACAGGUGUGAGCCACCAUGCCCGGCCAAUAGGCACUUCUUGAGUGCAUAUUACAUGCAACCUAUCAUGAGGGAUAGAGCCAGCAAUACCACAUGGUUCCUGACCGUAAAAAGAUUACAAUGUAGCUAGCAGUGGCCCAAAUAAAAGCUAAGCAUCAGAGGAUUUAAAUAACAAAGCACAGAUUCCAAGACCAUUUUUAGACAAGUACCUGGUAUAAGCAAAAAUGAAGUGGCUAAAAUAGAAAGAGGGGUGGAGAAACCAGAGGUACUCCCUCCUUCACUGAGGAUGCAUUAGUGGGGCGCUCACUGUGUGCCAGGCACUGUCAGUGCUGUGAAAAGAGAUGACUGAUAACCACCCUGUUCUCAAGGAGCUCGGGCUAGGGGGGCAGAAUGCCAGGUGAACACCUCUGUGCCAUCAGGAGUUAUGCAGAAGGAAUAUAACAUGCUGGGAGGGAAAAGGGAAGAAAUGCUUCACUCAGAGGUAGGGGAUGAAAAUGAUAGACUAGGAAGGUUUUAGAGAAAAGGUGAAAUGCAGUGAGUUUUGUAAGAUUAAAGAAUACAUCAAGCACCCAGGCUGGGGGUAGAAAGAGGCUUUAUGAUCAAGAAAAAAAAGUGCAUGGCCGGGCAUGGUGACUCGCGCCUGUAAUUCCAGCACUUUGGGAGGCCGAGGUGGGUGGAUCACCUGAGAUUAGGAGUUUGAGACCAGCC
rnacentral:lncRNA from 10 species